UGGGGAAUAUUGCACAAUGGAGGGAACUCUGAUGCAGCGACGCCGCGUGAACGAAGAAGGCUUUCGAGUCGUAAAGUUCUUUUAUAUGGGAAGAUAAUGACGGUACCAUAAGAAGAAGCCCCGGCUAACUACGUGCCAGCAGCCGCGGUAAUACGUAGGGGGCUAGCGUUGUCCGGAAUCACUGGGCGUAAAGGGUUCGCAGGCGGAAAUGCAAGUCAGGUGUAAAAGGCAGUAGCUUAACUACUGUAAGCAUUUGAAACUGCAUAUCUUGAGAAGAGUAGAGGUAAGUGGAAUUUUUAGUGUAGCGGUGAAAUGCGUAGAUAUUAAAAAGAAUACCGGUGGCGAAGGCGACUUACUGGGCUCAUUCUGACGCUGAGGAACGAAAGCGUGGAUAGCAAACAGG
rnacentral:rRNA from 1 species